rnacentral:tRNA from 1 species
UCCUUCCAGGGGUACAGGGCAUCGAAGUCCUCCGCCGACUUCGGACGCAGGUUCCACAUCUGCAGGAAGAUC